ACAAUGGGCGCAMKNGAUUCCAGCCAUACCGCGUGGGUGAAGAAGGCCUUCGGGUUGUAAAGCCCUUUUGUUGGGAAAGAAAUCCAGCCGGCUAAUACCUGGUUGGGAUGACGGUACCCAAAGAAUAAGCACCGGCUAACUUCGUGCCAGCAGCCGCGGUAAUACGAAGGGUGCAAGCGUUACUCGGAAUUACUGGGCGUAAAGCGUGCGUAGGUGGUUGUUUAAGUCUGUUGUGAAAGCCCUGGGCUCAACCUGGGAACUGCAGUGGAAACUGGACGACUAGAAUGUGGUAGAGGGUAGCGGAAUUCCUGGUGUAGCAGUGAAAUGCGUAGAGAUCAGGAGGAACAUCCAUGGCGAAGGCAGCUACCUGGACCAACAUUGACACUGAGGCACGAAAGCGUGGGGAGCAAACAGGAUUAGAUACCCUGGUAGUCCACGCCCUAAACGAUGCGAACUGGAUGUUGGGUGCAAUUUGGCACGCAGUAUCGAAGCUAACGCGUUAAGUUCGCCGCCUGGGGAGUACGGUCGCAAGMUGAAACUCAAAGGAAUUGACGGGGGCCCGCACAAGCSUGGAGUAUGUGGUUUAAUUC
rnacentral:rRNA from 1 species